CAAAUUUCAACAAGUGAAGCUCGGGAGAAUUAUCCGGAUAUGUUUAUAUCCCACAUCAAAACACAGGACUAAUCCUCAAACAGGGAGCUGAUAGCAGAUACCAGGAACUCACCCUUUACGGCUGAGAUUCUCGAACUAAGGAAUUUAAAGCCAAGCUAAUACCAUUUGAAAGGUGAUGAAAGUUAGGACUUCGAUGAAAUGUACUUGAUUUAAGACACGUAAACUAUUGCCAAGUGAAUUCUGACGAGACUUCCCCAAAGCCUCCAGGUAAAAAAAAAUGAAAGAGGGACUAAAACCAAGUAAAAUUUCAAAUAUAAUUGAAGAUUGCCAUUAAAACUGAUGUGUUCCUAAUGAACUCAACAUCGGAGUCGGACGUGAUAGAGGGAAGCCAGCUGCCAUGUUGUGAGUGCCUUAUGGAGAAGUCCUCAUGGCAAGACAUUUAGGUCUCCAGUCAACAGCCACCUGAGUGAGACUGGAGAUGGUGGCAGCCCCCAGCUGGCACCUGAGAGACUCUGAGUCAGAAGCACUCAGUUAAGCCACACCCAGAUUCUUGACUCAUAGAACUUGUGAGAUAAUAAAUGUUUGUUGUUUUAAGCAACUGAGUUUGGGUGGUAAUUGGUUUAGCAGCAAUGGAUAAUCAACAGAGCAAGAAAAGAAAAGCGCACAGGCUUUGGAGUCAAGCAGAAAUUCACUAAAGCCUAACUGGACGAAUAUGACUGUGCAACAGUGGACACUAUCAAUGGACAAUCUAACCCCCUCGAGCCUCCACUUCCUCAACCGUGAAACUGUGAUAACAGUAAUUACCUUGCAGGAUUGUUCUCAUUGUUAAAUUGAAUAGCAUAUAGCAAGUGACUAGCGAAAGGCCUAAGAUACCUUGGGUGCUAAUCUAAUACUUCAUUUCUCUUUCCUCUCGCUUGGUGCUCCCUUUAAUCCUUUCUCUCUUCUUUUGUGCCGUUUAUUGAGCAAGGAGGUAUUUGAAAUAAUAGUGAAAGUGGAAAAUUUUGAGACCAACGGCGUUUAAGGAGACAGGAUAUAAUGGAAUGUCAAAUAUAAAGAAGCUAUCACUUGAUCUGAGGUGAGGAAACAAGGGAGAGGUACAGGAAAGGAAGAGAAGUCACCCCUAAAGAUACAUUUCUUGCCAACAGGUUUGUUUUUCUGAUUUCAUUACAGGGAGCGGAUGUAAAGAUAUGCAGGUGUUUAGUUACCUCUCCCCGAAAAACGGAUAUUCCCAGAAUGAUGAAUAAAAGAUGGUCUUAAUUUGCUGUGACUUUUCCCAUGGUGUAAUAUACACAAUGUCUUCUACCAACAGUUUCUGAAGCUAACUAAUUU
rnacentral:lncRNA from 1 species